rnacentral:rRNA from 1 species
AACGUAGGAGACAAACGUUAUCCGGAGUUACUGGGCGUAAAGCGUGCGUAGGUGGUUGUUUAAGUCUGUUGUGAAAGCCCUGGGCUCAACCUGGGAAUUGCAGUGGAUACUGGGCGACUAGAGUGUGGUAGAGGGUAGUGGAAUUCCCGGUGUAGCAGUGAAAUGCGUAGAGAUCGGGAGGAACAUCCAUGGCGAAGGCAGCUACCUGGACCAACACUGACACUGAGGCACGAAAGCGUGGGGAGCAAACAGG